CCUACGGGAGGCAGCAGUGAGGAAUAUUGGUCAAUGGCCGAGAGGCUGAACCAGCCAAGUCGCGUGAGGGAAGACGGCCCUACGGGUUGUAAACCUCUUUUGUCGGGGAGCAAAAGACGCCACGCGUGGCGUUCCGAGAGUACCCGAAGAAAAAGCAUCGGCUAACUCCGUGCCAGAAGCCGCGGUAAUACGGAGGAUGCGAGCGUUAUCCGGAUUUCUUGGGUUUAAAGGGUGCGCAGGCGGAAGAUCAAGUCAGCGGUAAAAUUGAGAGGCUCAACCUCUUCGAGCCGUUGAAACUGGUUUUCUUGAGUGAGCGAGAAGUAUGCGGAAUGCGUGGUGUAGCGGUGAAAUGCAUAGAUAUCACGCAGAACUCCGAUUGCGAAGGCAGCAUACCGGCGCCCAACUGACGCUGAAGCACGAAAGCGUGGGUAUCGAACAGGAUUAGAUACCCUUGUAGUC
rnacentral:rRNA from 1 species